GGGGUGAAAUCCUGGAGCUACACUCCAAAACUGCCUUUGAUACUGGCAAUCUUGAGUCCGGAAGAGGUGAGUGGAACUCCUAGUGUAGAGGUGGAAUUCGUAGAUAUUAGGAAGAACACCAGUGGCGAAGGCGGCUCACUGGUCCGGUACUGACGCUGAGGUGCGAAAGCGUGGGGAGCAAACAG
rnacentral:rRNA from 1 species